CUCUGUCACAGAGACAGGAGCGGCCAAACGAAGAGACACGGGGCGGGUAUCGCGUGUGGACGCCACUCAUAGACCAACAAUACAGCAGGGAGUCCAGCUUCACUCCCAGGACUCAGCCAGCCUUCCUGAUUAACUCGCUGAGUCUCUUAGCAUCUGCUGUGGUGAUGCUACUACCCCUGCAUCCCACUGUACAAAAGAUUACACCAGAAACAGCUGAUUGGUAGAACAUCUACAGAGUCCUGCACACUGCAAAGUACCUGACCAUCUCAGAAGUCUGGUGUUUGCAGGUACUCGGGGUCCACGCUGGGCCAGGGCUGCUGGAGAACAUCACCCCUUACAGAUAGCAGCGCACUUAAGGGGUUCUGCAUGCAGGACAGGCCUGGAAAACAUGGAGAUCAAAGACAGAGCACCUCACCUGCCCAGAGUUCUGAUGCCAAGUGGGGUGCCAUGGGGGCCGUCAUCACACAGAGCACAGCCAGAGCCUCUUCAAACUCCAUGCUGUGCAGUACCACACGAGGGGAGCUUUGCUGGUACAUCAAUUUUGGGCACAAAACAAGAAGUCACAAGCAGUUCCCAGGAGCAGUGAAAAUUUUUACGACAAAUUCUUUACUAAAAACUAAACUUUACUAAACACCACAA